AGAAGUGUCCCUGGGCUGUGUCCUGGCCUCAGGCUCACACAGCUGUGACGGGUGAGGUGCUGCAGAGCCCAGCUGGUUCCUUCUCCAGAAGUUUCCCCGGAUAGCUGGGGCAGAAGGAGGGAACGUGUGAUGCUCCCUCACCAUCUGAAGAAAGUGGGGACAGUGGUGCAGAUUCAGUGCAGGGUAGAUCCCAUCCCCUUCUCCCCUCUCUGUCACAGGGAAUAAACCUCUGGCAGGGAGGGGGAAACAGCCCCUCCACAACCAUUUGCUGGUUUUCAUUUGUCUGAGCUCAUCAGACAGCUCCAUGUCCUUGCCAGCAGUGGCAAAAGCCCCUUUUUCCUCCUUUUCCCAAAAUGUAACAAGUCCUGCAUUUUGGCCUAAUAAAUCUGCCAUAGGUGUUUCUAAUGACUUAUUUCUCAGAGAUGCACUUGUGAGGCCAAGGACAAACACGGUGUGGUCAGGGGAGUUCUGCUCUCCUGGAGUAAACAGCAAGCUUAGCUAAUAACCGUGGGAGUGAGGGGGCAGAAGGGCUGUCUUCUGGAGAGAUUGGACUCAUUAGCUUGUUAUAAAUUAUUCCUCUUUUUGGCCUUCCUCAUGUAAUAUUUAGGAGAUGAAUUGUUCCUUCGUUGUGCCCGUGAUUGCCCAUGUCAGGAGGAGCUACCACAGACAUACCCACAAGAUGGGGAUGCACUGCCACGUUUUGCAAAUCGUUUCUAUUCCUUUAAUCCCUGCACCUCCCUCACUCUGCUUCUUGAUAUGCAUAAAGGAGCAAGAAUUCCCUCUAUGAGUAAUUAUUUACCUAAUGCAGAAAGAGUCCAGCAAACAUUAACAGGAAAACAAAAGCAGAUCAGAAACACCAGGCGUUCCAACUCUCCACGAGCAUCAACUCCCUGCUCCUGUUCCCACUUAUUGCUUGCCCAUCCUUGCAGUCAAGAAAAUAUAUUCCAGGGCACUGCCUUGUUGGCAGAGCCUUGGAACUGAAGUUGAGUGUCCCUGCUGCAGUUUGAGGUCUCCAGGCUGUUGUAGCUGUUCCCAGGGGCUGGAGAGCAGCCAGCUGGCUGGAGCAGCUGCUGCCCAUGCAGGAGGUCCCACACACUGCAGUGCUGGGACCCUGGCAGGGGAGGUGUGUUUCUGCCUGAAUAGAUGGUCUCGGGGCUCCUGGCACUUUUGGGUGGUCCAUUGUUGUUUCUGUGCCCCAGGCAGGCUUCGAGCAGAGGUUCCCCUGCUUACCACAGCCUUUUAGUGCAGUGCUGGAGAGCCUGACUUUGAAGGCUCUUUUCCCACAGCCUGGAGGUGCCUCCUCAUCUCAAGGCCUUCAGGGCCAAAUGCUGGGCAAAGCAUUGAAGUCCUGCCUGGUCAGAGAGCUGAAGGAAGCUACAAAGGCUUUACUCCCAGCUCAGACUCUUUGUUUCCCCUGAGGUGCCCAGGGGGACUUUGUAAGCAGGAGCAGCUGUUUGCCAGUGAAUGCCAGUGUAACCCUGAUGUCCUGAUUUAAGGGAAUAAUCCAUCAAGUUGUUUGUUUUCAGACCUCACUAACUGCUGAAAAAUCAAGAGUCUUAGAGCCAAGUGCCAUGUGCUCAGCUGAAGAUGGAUGUGGCAAUCAGAGGUAAAACACUCUCCAGUGAAACACAGGAUGCUCUGGGGUUUGUGCUGCUCUCUGGAGAUGCUCUUCACAGGGACAGAGGCAGGGAGAGACUCGGGGUGUGUCCAAAAGCAACGACUUCUGCAGGAUUUGGAUAUUCAGCCUCACUGUGUUGCUGCUUCUGAAGGGCCAGAGCCCCGUGGUAGUGCCUGUGUCUUUCUGGAUAUGGCCAUGUGUGAUGUGCUCCAGACCUGGGAUAAAGGAGGAAGGACCACAGCCAAGUCUUGGUUUCCCAGGCAGGUUCCUGAUGGCCACGAAUUAAGCAGGAGCUCCACUGCUCCCAAGGGUGAAGCCCAGGAAUGGCUGUGGUCUAUAAACCACCGAGGGUUGGAUAAGGAAGAUGUCAGCCUGACCUUCCUACACGGAAGUGGCAGGAGGUACCUGCAGCCAUGGAGCUUAUGAAACUAAAAAAGAUGGCAAAGAGAAAAAAAGAAGACCAUGGAUAGGAAUGGAGAUGGACAAAAAAGGGAGAAAACUCAGGGACUGACGGCUCUGCAUCAUUCCAGCUCCGAUAACGUGCACGGCCUUCGGAAUUCCUGCCCCCGCUCGUGCAGCCAUUUGUUGGAUACUGCAAAGACACAAAGGGA